rnacentral:rRNA from 1 species
AUGUUGGGAGAGGACCUGACAAAAGAAGUAUUACAGGCGGUGAAUACAUGUUCAAUACCGGCAGGCUGGAAUGAUACUGCAGUUGUCAUGAUCCCAAAGGUUAACUCCCCAGAAAAGGUUACUCAAUUUAGACCUAUUAGUUUAUGCAAUGUGGUGUAUAAGGUUAUUUCAAAAAUGAUUGCAGCACGUCUGAAAUUAAUUUUGUCAGACAUUAUCAGCCCAACUCAGAGUGCUUUUGUCCCUGGGAGACUAAUCACAGAUAAUAUUUUGGUAGCAUAUGAGUGUUUCCACACAAUAAAACAGAAAAGAACAGGGAAUGAGGGGCUGUGUGCAAUCAAGUUGGACAUGCACAAAGCUUAUGACCGAGUGGAAUGGUCUUUUUUAAAAGCAAUUUUGGUGAAGCUGGGUUUCAAGGAAAACUGGGUGAAUUUGAUUAUGCAAUGUGUGUCCUCGAUGGAGUACAGGAUUCGGGUUAAUACAGAGGAGACCGAUAGCUUCAAACCCACUAAAGGAUUAAGGCAGGGGAUCCCCUCUCACCCUACUUAUUCCCGUUAUGUACGGAGGGCCUGA